AACGCGAAGAACCUUACCUGGCCUUGACAUGCUGAGAACUUUCCAGAGAUGGAUUGGUGCCUUCGGGAACUCAGACACAGGUGCUGCAUGGCUGUCGUCAGCUCGUGUCGUGAGAUGUUGGGUUAAGUCCCGUAACGAGCGCAACCCUUGUCCUUAGUUACCAGCACGUUAUGGUGGGCACUCUAAGGAGACUGCCGGUGACAAACCGGAGGAAGGUGGGGAUGACGUCAAGUCACCAUGGCCCUUACGGCCAGGGCUACACACGUGCUACAAUGGUCGGUACAAAGGGUUGCCAAGCCGCGAGGUGGAGCUAAUCCCAUAAAACCGAUCGUAGUCCGGAUCGCAGUCUGCAACUCGACUGCGUGAAGUCGGAAUCGCUAGUAAUCGUGAAUCAGAACGUCACGGUGAAUACGUUCCCGGGCCUUGUACACACCG
rnacentral:rRNA from 1 species